UUUUGGAUAGAAUUUUCGUGAACCAAAAGAUGUCCAAAAGUGAUUUUCUUUGCUUACUUAAGGGUGUCCUUUUAGAUUCUAAGAACACACUUAGUAAAACAUCUUACACUCAAAUAGAACGCCAAAAAACUUGAGAGAAAUCAGCUGAACAUCAAGAAAUAGUAGGCUGAAACUUGAGAGCCUUGAGUGAGUUUUCUGAGAAACAGAAAUACUUAAAAGAAUAAAGUUUUAUAAGUUAGUUUCUGGAUUUCUCUAUCUCUGAAAGUUAUCUAAGCUUUUGAGGUCUCUUCCGGGUCCUCUCUUUGGUUCUUGUUACUGAUGUUGCUGCUAGCUUUUAGUUGCUAGUUUACGGGUACUUUUGGCGGGUUUUCUAUUUCGUUUCUGGGUGUUUUCAUUGUUGUUUCUAUUGUUGUUCCUGCUCGUUUCACUGCUGUAUUUUAUUUCUACGACCCAAGUAAUCUUAUAUUUUUUUGUAACGAGACUUUAUAAGACAUUAAUAAAGAAGAUCUAAUGUUCGAAGUUA
rnacentral:lncRNA from 1 species